rnacentral:hammerhead_ribozyme from 1 species
AUUCAGCUGACGAGUCCCGAACAGGACGAAACGCGCGUCCUGGAU